GAUGAACGCUGGCGGCGUGCCUAAUACAUGCAAGUCGAGCGAACGGACGAGAAGCUUGCUUCUCUGAUGUUAGCGGCGGACGGGUGAGUAACACGUGGAUAACCUACCUAUAAGACUGGGAUAACUUCGGGAAACCGGAGCUAAUACCGGAUAAUAUUUUGAACCGCAUGGUUCAAAAGUGAAAGACGGUCUUGCUGUCACUUAUAGAUGGAUCCGCGCUGCAUUAGCUAGUUGGUAAGGUAACGGCUUACCAAGGCAACGAUGCAUAGCCGACCUGAGAGGGUGAUCGGCCACACUGGAACUGAGACACGGUCCAGACUCCUACGGGAGGCAGCAGUAGGGAAUCUUCCGCAAUGGGCGAAAGCCUGACGGAGCAACGCCGCGUGAGUGAUGAAGGUCUUCGGAUCGUAAAACUCUGUUAUUAGGGAAGAACAUAUGUGUAAGUAACUGUGCACAUCUUGACGGUACCUAAUCAGAAAGCCACGGCUAACUACGUGCCAGCAGCCGCGGUAAUACGUAGGUGGCAAGCGUUAUCCGGAAUUAUUGGGCGUAAAGCGCGCGUAGGCGGUUUUUUAAGUCUGAUGUGAAAGCCCACGGCUCAACCGUGGAGGGUCAUUGGAAACUGGAAAACUUGAGUGCAGAAGAGGAAAGUGGAAUUCCAUGUGUAGCGGUGAAAUGCGCAGAGAUAUGGAGGAACACCAGUGGCGAAGGCGACUUUCUGGUCUGUAACUGACGCUGAUGUGCGAAAGCGUGGGGAUCAAACAGGAUUAGAUACCCUGGUAGUCCACGCCGUAAACGAUGAGUACUAAGUGUUAGGGGGUUUCCGCCCCUUAGUGCUGCAGCUAACGCAUUAAGCACUCCGCCUGGGGAGUACGACCGCAAGGUUGAAACUCAAAGGAAUUGACGGGGACCCGCACAAGCGGUGGAGCAUGUGGUUUAAUUCGAAGCAACGCGAAGAACCUUACCAAAUCUUGACAUCCUUUGACAACUCUAGAGAUAGAGCCUUCCCCUUCGGGGGACAAAGUGACAGGUGGUGCAUGGUUGUCGUCAGCUCGUGUCGUGAGAUGUUGGGUUAAGUCCCGCAACGAGCGCAACCCUUAAGCUUAGUUGCCAUCAUUAAGUUGGGCACUCUAAGUUGACUGCCGGUGACAAACCGGAGGAAGGUGGGGAUGACGUCAAAUCAUCAUGCCCCUUAUGAUUUGGGCUACACACGUGCUACAAUGGACAAUACAAAGGGCAGCGAAACCGCGAGGUCAAGCAAAUCCCAUAAAGUUGUUCUCAGUUCGGAUUGUAGUCUGCAACUCGACUACAUGAAGCUGGAAUCGCUAGUAAUCGUAGAUCAGCAUGCUACGAUGAAUACGUUCCCGGGUCU
rnacentral:rRNA from 1 species